UACUACAGAAAAUGACUGAGCGGCGAACGGGUGAGUAACGCGUGAGCAAUCUACCUUAGUUACAGGGAUAGCCCGAGGAAACUCGGAUUAAUACCUGAUAUUCUUUAUAUUUCGCAUGAAAUUAAAAGGAAAGGUCAGCCGAACUAAGAUGAGCUCGCGUUCUAUCAGCUAGUUGGUGAGGUAAAAGCUCACCAAGGCUACGACGGAUAGCUGGUCUGAGAGGACGAUCAGCCACACUGGGACUGAGACACGGCCCAGACUCCUACGGGAGGCUGCAGCAGGGAAUAUUGCGCAAUGAGCGAAAGCUUGACGCAGCGACACCGCGUGUGGGAUGACGGAUCUAGGUUUGUAAACCACUUUCAGGAGGGAAGAAAAUGACGGUACCUCCACAAGAAGCCCCGGCCAACUACGUGCCAGCAGCCGCGGUAAUACGUANGGGGCGAGCGU
rnacentral:rRNA from 1 species